rnacentral:tRNA from 1 species
GCCCCUGUAGCUCAGUCGGUUAGAGCCGGGAACUCAUAAUUCUCUGGUCGCAGGUUCGAGCCCUGCCGGGGGCA